GUGGGGAAUCUUAGACAAUGGGGGAAACCCUGAUCUAGCCAUGCCGCGUGAGCGAUGAAGGCCUUAGGGUUGUAAAGCUCUUUCAGCUGGGAAGAUAAUGACUGUACCAGCAGAAGAAGCCCCGGCUAACUCCGUGCCAGCAGCCGCGGUAAUACGGAGGGGGCUAGCGUUGUUCGGAAUUACUGGGCGUAAAGCGCACGUAGGCGGACCGGAAAGUCAGAGGUGAAAUCCCAGGGCUCAACCUUGGAACUGCCUUUGAAACUCCUGGUCUUGGGGUCGAGAGAGGUGAGUGGAAUUCCGAGUGUAGAGGUGAAAUUCGUAGAUAUUCGGAGGAACACCAGUGGCGAAGGCGGCUCACUGGCUCGAUACUGACGCUGAGGUGCGAAAGCGUGGGGAGCAAACAGGAUUAGAAACCCUGGUAGUCC
rnacentral:rRNA from 1 species